GCAGCUGUGGUUCAGUGGUAGAAUUCUCACCAUCCAUGUGGGAGACCCAGGUUCAAUUCCCAGCAAAUGCA
rnacentral:tRNA from 1 species